AUUGCGAAUAAUAUUGCCAAUAAUAUUGAGACUGUUUGUUGAUACUGGCCCCUCUAAGUUAAGUCUAAGGCCCUAUUGCCGCUGUAUAUUUUACUGCGUCAUCUAAACUUACUAAGAAUCAACGGAACAGACUAUAAAGUAUGGUGUAAGUGCAGAAUCUACAUGUCUGAUGUGAAGGUCUCAUAUCAUCUACCAAGAAGUUGGACUUUUGAAUCUGCUAUGAAUUGAGACAAGUGAAUUUGUGGAUAGCCGAGAUGAGUGCCUACAAUACAGACAUUCAAACUCCUCUCUUUGGGGAAACUCAGACAUGGGAGCGGGUGGUGAACCUUAUAGUUGGUGUUGUCUUGGUUGUCAUAGUUACGGUUACUUUCAUCAGUGCAUUAGUCUUCCCUUCAUGGCCUCCAUUGCCAGUCAACAUCUUCUUUUCUAUCUGUAUAAUCUUCGUUUACAUUGGAAAUAUACUGCUGAUUUACUGGUAUAGACAAGGAGACGUGGAUCCGAAGUUCAGAUUGCUGAUUUACUACAACAGCUUCUGCGUCAUUGCUCUCUGUGUCGCUGCCAACCUCUACUUCCAUGAGGUAUCAUGAAAUUUGUAGUUUUACUUCUGUUUAGCCAUGGAAUACCUGAACUUAUGCAAAGUCUAGUUACCAUGGAUUCUGACAAAAUGCUGCUCUUAACAACAAUCAAAUGAGUUUAAGCUUUUAUCCAAUGUCAAAUGAAUUGAUUCAUGGUGUGGAAGAUGUGAAGGGGAUACUUCAGAGUGGCAUUUAUUUUCAUUUGCCACUUGACACCCAGGAGAGAUGAAAUAUCAGGAUUAUUGAGGUUGACAAAUCCAUCAGACCAGGGUGUAGAAAACACAGAAGUGUGCGAUAUCUUUAUUUUGAUCAUAUGAUUAUUUAAAUGAAACAAAAACACAUUUUCUUUUAUUUUUGCUUUCAUUUGGGUAUUUGUCUUAUGCUAGCCCCACUCUUAUUUAUCCCUGUAUUCAUAGGGAUUAUACAGACCUUUUCUCCCUUCGGAAUACUACCAGUACAUGUGCUUCAUUUAGAGUAUGUUAUUAAACACACAUUUUCACAUAAAUUACAUGUAUGUUUUCCCUUUAAUGACAGUCUAUUUUUCUUUAUUUACUUUGGUAUGAAAAAUUGCUGUGCAAUAGUCAUUUCUAAUUCAGGUAGAUUUGAUUUUAAAAACAACUUCUUUUUCAAUUAUUUGUACGAGUCUUAUGACCUUUUGAAAUACAUUUAUAGUAAAAGAAGAGAUAGUUUUCAUUCAUUUUUUUUGUUCAUGCUAAAUGUCGAUCAAAGUCAAGAAAUCCAAGCACUGGUGACAGAAGUCAGCAGUAGUUGGAAUAGGUUGAUGGGGGUGCUUGAAGAUGUGUUGGUUUCUAUCACUAUAAACUACAUAAAUAUGUUGUUUUUUAAUAAAGUGGAUUUAAUGUGGUAGUUAUCGAUAGAUCCAAAUAGUUUUAACUGUGCUCUGACAAUCAUACAUCAAUAAUGACAUGCUAUAUCUCUUCAUGUAUGUCAGAUAGUUACACUUUGGAUUGUAACUUAGAUGCCAAAUCUUUUAUUUUAAAUCACCAUUGAUAAAAAAAAACCUAUAGCAGUGAUAUCUUAGUUCAUUAUUCUUCAAAUGUUUUCCUUUGAUGGAUUUUUUUUGCCAAACCUGAAUUAAUAUAAUUUAUUCUUCUUUUCUGCUUUUAUUGAUAUCAACUUAACAUCUGGAUCAAUUUCCCCCUUAAAAAGAACACAAAUGAUUUUUGUCAAUUCACCUUUUUUUUUAAUACAAAGCUAUGGUACAUUGUUCAGACUCUGUUCAUAUAUACCGUCAAUUGUGGUUUGUUACAAGUAUGCAAUAUGGAGAUUCAUGUCAAUGUUUCAUUUGUAGAAAUGAGAAAUUAACAACAUACAUUUCAUCAUUGUAAUAGGGUUCAUGUUAUUUUAACCACUCAUGGUGACAGUUAAGCCUUGGUUCAAUUUUUUGGGGGGAAUGAAAAAAACAGUUUACUUAUCUUAUUUUUCAGUUUUACUUCACAUUGGAUAUUAUUUAUGACUAGAUUAUUGAUUCAUUUUUACAUAAACCUCAUCUUUCAUUUGCUUUAUAUUUACUUAUUCUCCAUUUUCUUUUUAUUUCACUUCAGAUUAUAUUAUUAAUCCUGUGUGUAUGAUUUUUGUUAAUUUGGAUGACAAAAAACUGUUAUCGAGUAUUAAAUUAUGCACUCCUUGCACAAUGCUUGUUAUUAAUGUCCCUUAUGCUUUCUAUGCAAUAUGCACCCACACACAAUUAUUUUGCAAGAUUUCCUUUUAUCUCUUCUUUGUAACCCUCUGUGUUUCCAAAUAGUUUCACUAGAUCAAUAUUACGUUCCGAAAGAAUUAAAUUAGAAGUUGUAAAUACAUGAAAAUAUAAUUCAAAUUGUGGAUAUACCAAGUAUGAACUCAUAUCUUCAACUCCUGUUGAUAGUAGGUGCUGCAUAUCAUUACUCUAUGGCUUUUUACUUGAUUAAUAGUGGUUAGCUAUACAUCGUAAGGGAAGCAAGGCCAGUAUAAAUAUACUGGUACUGACAGGAUAAGAAGAUAGUGUUUGAAAUCAAGGUAUUAGAUUCCAGACAAUCCAUAGCAAUACCAUCCAUUAUAACGAUCCAUAUUUGGAUCACUGUUAUGUUGUGCAAUAUUGUAUCCAUGUGAUAAGACAUUUUACUAAUGAUUGUAACCAUAUCCCUUAGUCAGAUGUUGUGUAUGAAGUGCACUUAAUUAAGGACUUGACAAUUACAACUGACCUUUAAUGAAUUUGUGCUUCUGGUCAAUGAGGGAUAAGUUGCAGCUAAUGCUAUGGUUUAAAUCAUUUUUCAUUUGAAAUAUUCAAAUCCAAGUUUUUAUUAUGCUUAUUUCACAUUUUAUUCAAAUUCAUUUGAUUAAAUAAUGGUGUAAGGUACAAGAAAUAUGAAGGUUAUAUUUAUGAAUAUAUCAAUAAUUUUUUGCUGAAACAAUGCCUAAUCCCUUAUUUGCUAUUUAAUAUUACUCUCUCGUCUGUUGUAUAAAACUUUAUCAUAUAUUGUGUAGCUUUGAAAGUCUUCAAAGGGCUUUAGCCAAUGGUAAAUAAUAUAUACUUUUUUCCACGGAGGUAGAGGGGGGUUUGAAAAUUCAAGGGUUAUAAAUUUACCUUUAAAGCAUUCUCGUCAAUGAUCAAACUGUGAUCAGUAUGUGCAGUACAAAUUAAUUCUAAGUUAAGGACGUUCCACAGUUAUGUUUGUGCGCAUUAUGAUCUGCGCAUAGUUUACACUCUGCGCGCUGACGUCACAAUGGAUGAACAGGUGAUUAAUUAGCUGCGGGUAUGUGCUGAUUUUUCUCAUCUUCUGCACUUUAACUGCAGAUUUCAUGAAGCUAAAAAAUGGAAUUAUUCCAUGGACCAUUCAAAAAAAGAUUCUCUACAAUUUCAAAAUACUUUACUCUGCAGUGCUGCCAAGAAUCACGAGUAUUACCCCGAGUUUGAAUAAAUGGUAGAGUGGUUUUGAUUUUUUCUUCACAUAGAUACAAAGCAUUCGGCGCAUUUUUUGUGUUUUAAAAAGCACAUUUGCUCCAAUAAAAAUACUGAUAGUUUAAAAACAAGCUCAUGAACCCCUAUUUUUUAAUGUUUGUUCCUCUUAGGUAUACCUUCCUCUACAACUUUAUUUUGAAUAAAGUGCAGCAUUUAUUGUACUUUUGUAGUUUGUUACUGAAAUUUCACAUUUUGUAGAUUGUGAUUUUGUUAUCUUUUACGCCAUUUUUAAGAACUGACAGUGCUGUUAAACUUAAAAUUGCAAACAAACAGCACUAUAAAUAUAUUCUCCAUUCUAACGAUACAAUUAUUAACUCUCUUGCGAAAUUUGAUGAAUUGUUCUUGUAUUUUGACUGAGUAAUACAGGUUUAAACUCAUUGUAGUAAUCUUGGACGGUCUAAAAAUGUCAAAUUCUUUUGAAUGCGCAAUUCUUAAGAACAUCAAUUUGGGUGAACUUUGAAGUUCUAUAGCAAAAAAUCAAGCACAUGGACCUAUGUUAAUUUUUGCAUAUUUCGAAUAUUAAGGUUCUGAAGUAUCUAUGUGCAAAGUUUGGUGAAAAUGACAUGGAUUUCACUUUAACUGUGGAACGUCCUUAAAUGUCAUCACUGCAUUGUCACUAGUUAUUUUAUAGAUAAUUUGCAAUAGGUGUAUAUGGAUUUCUUUGAAAUAUAAAUAUGUUUUCUUGUAUGUGUUUACAUAUAUGUUUUCAAAAAUAAGAUUCUUCAGUGUAACUGAUUUGGAUGUAAUAUGAGUUUGUUUUCAUGUUCAUUUUUUUUCUUGCACCAUCCAUCAGUUAUGUAAAUGCAGGACUUCACUCAAUUUCUGUACGCUUUACUUUGAUGUUUUACAUUAAUAUUUGUUAAAUUAAUAUAUUUCAUACAUUCUUAUGUAGAUAUUGUAAACAUUAUACAUAUUCAUUUUAUGAAUAUAUUUUUUAGAGAAAAUGGGGUAAUCUUUUGUAAAUAUCCAAUGUCACAUAUAUAAGCCAGUUUUAGGUCUAUUAAAAGCUGAAAUUGCUGUAUGUGAAGAA